rnacentral:rRNA from 1 species
AACGAACGCUGGCGGCAGGCCUAACACAUGCAAGUCGAACGCUCGUAGCAAUACGGGAGUGGCAGACGGGUGCGUAACACGUGGGAACAUACCCUUUGGUUCGGAAUAACUCAGGGAAACUUGAGCUAAUACCGGAUACGCCCGAGAGGGGAAAGAUUUAUUGCCGAAGGAUUGGCCCGCGUCUGAUUAGCUAGUUGGUAGGGUAACGGCCUACCAAGGCGACGAUCAGUAGGGGAUGUGAGAGCAUGAUCCCCCACACGGGUACUGAGACACGGACCCGACUCCUACGGGAGGCAGCAGCAAGGAAUAUUGGACAAUGGUCGGAAGACUGAUCCAGCCAUGCCGCGUGAAGGAUGAAGGCGCUCAGCGUUGUAAACUUCUUUUGUACGGGAACAAAAUGCGACCUGCGGGUUGUACUGAGGGUACCGUAAGAAUAAGCACCGGCUAACUCCGUGCCAGCAGCCCG